UUAAUAAUUUUUUUUAUACUUUUAAUAAAGAUUUAUACUUUUCAAUGAAAAAAUUUAAUUUUUUUAUGAAUGCUUAAAUUAUAUUAAGAAAAGAAAAAAUAAUAAUUAAAAAUAGUUGAAAAAAAAUUAUUUGAACUUGGACUCAAUGGCCUAAAGGAAAAAAAAAAGGUAGAUAUGAUGUGGACUGGAUCCGAAAAAAAAUGACCAAAUAUAGAUGUGUUAUUAAUAUUACUUGAUUGCCUUUAAUGAAAUUAGUAAAGAAAAAGACAUGCUAAGGUAAAAAGGACAAUAUUAUCUGCUUUAAUAGUAUAGAUAGGUGGUUGGACGCUUUUGGAGACCUAAAUAAACUUUAUAGGGAUUUCAAAAAAAAAAUCGUAAUGAUUUGAAGCACUAAAAGAAAAUGGAAAGAGGAUCGCUUGAUCCCAUUCCAGACCAGAACUGGAUCUAUCGUUUCAUUGAAAACAAACAAAGUGGUCGGCUCAGCAAACCGCAUCGAUCAAUGCAACUUUCUAAUCGAUCGAUUUAAAAUUGCAAACAAAGUGAUAGAUCGAUGCAACAUCCCAAUUGAUCGAUUGGACGAGCACAAGACGAAGAAAUCUGUCAGGAAAAUAUGCAUUGGUCGAUUGAAAAAUCUCAUCGAUCAAUAGGACCCGCACGAGUUGAGGUGAAAUUUUCCUUUUCCUGUUUUGGUUUUUCCUUUUUCCCAAAAGUAUCCACUGUCUUUAAAUACCCUUAAUGUUCAAACAAGGAAAGCUUAGGAAGCAACGGUCUUUUGUAGUUCACAUGGAUGCAGAUCAUCCGGUUUGGUUUACAGAGUCGGUAUACAUAUGUUGAUGAUAAAAAAAUAAAAAAAGUAAAGGUUCAUAAGGUUAUCGAAGGAGAUUGGGAAAUCUGGGGAGGUGAACUUCACAAAGCACAGUAACUUGUUACUGACUCAAAGCAGGCCUGGGCAUCCGGGUUUUUGGACUGGGUUCGGAUCGGGUCUUGCCGGGUCCUAACAAUUUAGACCCAUGUAGGUACAUAUAAUUUUCCGGAUCGGUUCCAGGUCGGGUCUUAUCGGGUCAGGGUCGGUUUGGAUCUAUAAUUUCAAUACCCGUAAAAUACCCAAAAUUUUCGGGUAUAUUUCGGAUCCGAGUCGGUUCAAGUAUUUAAGACCCGAAAUAGAUCCGAAAUAUCCGAACUUGACCCGAAAACUCUAAAAAUACCUGAAGAACCGCAAAAAUACCCAAAAUUUUAUCCAAAAUCAGACCCGAAAACCCAAAACAUACCCGGAUUUUACCCGAAUACCCGAAUUAUAUUUUCUAAAAAUCUAAAAUUUACCCGAAACCUACAAUUAUACCUAAAAAUCCAGAAACUUUUAAAAAAUCCAAAAUACCAAAAAUAUACCCAAUCACCCAAAUAUACCUAGUAUAUACAAUUAUUUGCGGAUACUUCGGGUACCCGAACGGGUCUCGGGUAGGACCUGGACCCGAACCGAAACCCGCGGGUCCAAAAAAAAAUGACCCAAUAGGUACUUAGCAUGGACCUGGACCCGGACCCGAACCUGUAUUUUUGGGUCAGUUCCGGUUCGGAUCUUCGGGUCCGGGUAAAAUGCCCAGGCCUAACUCAAAGUUCUUUGUUUACUUUCCACACAUGCUAUUGGAUUCGUCUUCACAUUGAUACUUGUUUUAAGGUAUAUCCCUGAAGAAGACUUUGAAAAAGAAGGUUAAUGAUCAUGGCUAUUCUGUAUCUCCAUCCUCUUCAGCUCUCUGUGGUAGUGACUGCAGUUGUGGGUGGGUCCAUUAUGUUUGCAGAGUUCCAUGUGCUUGAUCCAAUGUUCAACAUAGUCUCACCGGAACAGACAUUACUAUCUGUUUCCCUUUUACUGAUGAAACCAAGAGACUUACAGCUUUACAUGGUUCGAUAGAAGAGAUGCUAUAUAGCCCUUAGCAAACUAAUGAGCAUGUGUAAGUGUUGACUUACUUUUGUUUGGUUUUGAGAACUCAUACUAACUUCUUUUUUGUCAAAAAAGUAGUUUUUGGUGGGUUUGUUUAUUUCAAUGGUACAUUGAGCUAUAGGUCGAAGCCAAUACUCUUCUCUAUGGCGAGGCUGGACAAAGUGAAGAACAUCUCGAGUUCAGAUUUUUUUUUUGAUUAAUGUUGGGGCCAAGGAUCAGCAGAUAAUUCAAGCUAUCUAGAAGGCCGAUGGCGGCCAAACUAUUUACAAAACAAUUUGGAGGAGAGGCCAAAGGGAAAACGACAUUGCUUCCUUGUAUUACUAUCAACACCAGAGCUAAAGUAACUGCUUGUGUUACUAUCAACACCAGAGCUAAUCAGUGUAGACUUACUUAAAAGUAUUUUUCUGUAAUUUUAUUGUUUAAAGUAUACACUUGAGACAUAUUGUAAAGUUUUUGUGAUUAGUUUUACUCUUGAAACUUCUUGAGAAUUUUGUAUAGAUUUUCUUUUUCUCACAUGUGUGUUAGUUAUUGUUUUAGCUUAUGGUCGUUUUAACUGUUUGGUUGAUUAGACUAUCUUGUAAAAAAAAACUAAUAAUAUCAUACAAGUGAAACACACCAAUAAAAUGAAUACAACGUCUAUAGAUUAUGCAUCAAAUAAUUAUUUAUCAAUGAAUAUUUUAUAAUAAUAAAUUACUAUAAAGCGAAGAAAAUAGAAAACAUCUAGAGUGUAUUUGAUUAUUCAUAAUCUUGAUGCCUCAAAUGAAGUAUUAGAGAAGAGUAUCUGCAGCAUAAAAUAAAAUUAUGAGAAAAACAUAAGAUAAGAUAAGUAAAUUAAAUUAUAUUUUAGUAGACUUCUUAUGAAGUCUGCGUAAAGUUUAUGGUUUAGUAGAAUUUAGUUGAAGUAUACUAGCCUUAAUUUUUAAGUAGACUUCAUUAGAAGUCUACACUAACGAAAAAUUUUCAGAUCUAAAAAUGUACAUUUAGAAAAUUUGAAAAUAGUUUGUUCUGGAAAAUAUUUCAAAAUAUUUUUUUUUCCUAACCUAAUAGCAAAGCAAAAACAUAGAGUUUGAAUCUAUAAAUUUAGUUCAAUAUAACAAACAAAAAUACAGAUUUAAAAUGAAUAGAUGUAAAUCUUACACUUUUUGGGAAGAUGAUUUGAAAACUUGUGAAGAGAAAACCUACAAAAUAAGAUAAAAUUAUGAGAAAAGUAUAAGAUAAAAAAUGUAUUUAAAUAUAAAUACAAAAAAACAUGCUUAAAAUCUAUAGAUGAAAAUCUUACAUUUUGGAGAGGAGGAGAUAAAAAAAAUGGAAGAAAAUACCUGAAAAAUAAGAUAAAAUUAUUAAAAAACAUAUGAAAAAAGUUAGUCAUAUUUUGUAAACUGCAAUGAAGUCUGCUUAAAAUUUGUGGUUUAGUAGACUUCAUUUGGAGUAUACUAGCUUUAACUUAUCAGCAGACUUCAUUAUAAUUCUAUUUUAUCCCAUAAUUCCAGAUUUGAAAGAAAAAUCUGUACAUUUAGAAAUGUGAAAAAUAAUUUUAAAUCUGAAAAACUUCAAAAAUAGUAGCAGCACAAAGUUUGGAUCUAUAAUUUUAUUUGAAUAGAAACAUUAAAUACACAUUUAAAAUAUAUAGAUCUAGAACUUAUAUUUUUAGAGGGGAAGAUGAAAACCAUGAAUGAUAAUAUCUCCAAAAACAAUAUGAUAUUGUGAGAAAGACAUGAGAAAAAAAUUAACAAUUUAAACAAAAGUUUUUCUUUAUGUUCAAAGAAUUUAGAGAGAAAUGAGAGAAUUUUAUAGAGAAUGGAGAGAGUUUUAGAAACUUAUUCAGCUAUUUUAGGAGAGAUUAUGUAAAUUUCAUUUAUAUAGGUAGACAUAAAUUGUAACUAGGUUAAAAUUUACGAUAUUGUAGACUUUCUUAAAGUCUACUAAAAUUAAAAUUGUGGAUUAAACUUUAUUGUAAGUCUAGUAGAUUUUUUUUGGAAGUCUACUAUGAUAGUUUCAUUAUUGUUGUUCAUUCUUGGGAAAUUGCCACAAAUAGCACAUUCAUAGUACCACUUUUCAUGUUUACACUAACCACUUUUACCCUUACUUUUAAUGAAGGG